CCAAUUCCAUUAAUGCGUCAAAUAAAGUGAAGUAAAAGAAUGUGACCACUUGGCUUAUCAUUUAAACACAAAACUAAAAACCAGCUGCAUAUACUCGAUGACUCGCAUAUGACUCUGCUGCGACUCGGCCUAACUCAGAGAAAUAGACUUGGCUAAACACAAAGACCAUAACUCGGUGACUAUAUACAGAACAAGGCAACUAAAAUCGAACUAAACUAUGACUAAAACUCAAACUACAGUAACUCGAAACUAAACCC
rnacentral:lncRNA from 1 species